UUAUUUGCCAAUUACAUAUUGGUAUUUUAUUCGUAUAGCCGGCGAGUGAUUGAAGUUUACAGAUAGAAUGUAACUUAUAAUAAGUAGUACUAAAUCUCGGUGAUAUCCACCGAUUUAUUGUAUUAUUAAUUGCGUCGUAAAAAGGUUUAGAUUUAAAAUGUGUCUUCCUAUGUCUAACUGUUGUUGUUGUAUAAGUUUGAGUGUUGGCGCCAAAAUAGUAGCAAUUUUGAGUUUAAUGACGUCAACUGGCACGGUUCUGGUGUACGGAACAGCAGCAUUACUCCCACGACCAGACACUGAGAUACGAAGAAUAAGUUACGUAGUUGUUGCCGCUGCAGCCGUUAUCAAAUUCAUCAUGGCGUGUCUCAUGGCAUAUGGCGCUUUCCAGAAAAAACCAAAAUUCCUUCUUCCAUGGUUACUUACUGCUUGGAUAUAUGCAGUGAUAUUAUUAAUUGCAUCGCUCUUCGGCAGUAUUCUUAUCUCACUCAAAGUUGCCAAAAAUAUGGAAACGACAUCUGAAGUCAGUACAAUGGUGUCAGCAUAUUUCAUUUAUGCAAUUAUUCUAUACUACUUCGCAUCUGUUGUCAACAGUAGAAGAGAAGAAAUGCUUCGAGACAGACAAGUAAAAUUCACUUACAUUUCACAUCGUCUGAUGGGCCAAAAAGUCCUUCCAAAGAUGUAUACGCCAUGAAACUAUUUACUUCAGAGUUGGGAUAAAACACUCUAAGUGAAGAAGGGAGUAAA